AUGUAUUUAUCCACAUUCAUCGUCGCGUCGCGAGUAGUGGGCAACGGUGGGCGCCUUGCAGCAGGCUACCUCUCCAAACCUAUACAAGCAAAAGCGAACGAGUGAGGAGCAUGGCGUCUCAUGAUAGCAGAAGAAGAAGAAGAGGACUUGCCGUUCUCGCUUUCGUUGCCUCCAUGUUCUGGUUGCUGGCAUCGCAGUCCAUUUGCGACGGCCGAGUGUUGAACUACUCGAUUGAUCCGAGCUUGUGGUUGGCGCAUCGUCAAAUACGCUAUGGUCCAUUGGGUUGCAGUACGCCUGAUGGUAAAAAGAAGUGUCAUCCUCCCGUGACGGUCAGGGACCCUAAACCUCAUCAACCGGCCACGCUUGCAGUACCAACUCCGCCUUAACCAAGCAUGACAUGACGGCCGCCCUUUCAAGUCCUUCCGCCACCACCACCACUACUUAUCUCUCUCUCUCUCUCUCGUCCAUGAUCUAUCAUGUGUCUAUGACAUGUACGACAUAAUUAAAAUAAAUUGGAUUAUUGUGUUA